AACCUUGUUGAAUGGGCAAGACCUCAUUUGGGAGAUAGGAGAAGGUUCUACAGAUUAUUAGAUCCUCGUCUUGAAGGUCACUUUUCAAUCAAAGGUGCUCAGAAAGCUAUACAACUGGCUGCUCAGUGUCUUAGCCGUGAUCCCAAAACUAGACCCCGAAUGAGCGAAGUUGUUGAAACACUAAAGCCUUUGCCUAGCUUGAAGGAUAUGGCCAGCUCUUCCUAUUAUUUCCAAACUAUGCAAGCAGAUCGGAACAAGUCAAAUAUGCAUAAUAAAAAUGGCAUCAGAACACAGGGAGGAUUUAUAACAAGGAAUGGACAACCAUUGAGGAGCUUAUCCAGUCUAAGUGAUUCACGUGCUCUCCAUAUACCCAGCCAUACCAGUCACCAAAACCUAAUGGGAAAAAAUCAUAGAACUAUAGUUGUGUUUGUGUAUAUCUUCUACUGGCAACUGGCUCCUCUUGGUCAGUAGUUUCAUCAGUCGCAUAUGUUAAGUAAAAGAAAUAGUGCAGAGGAUGGUUCCGUCAUUUUCUCUGUGGAGAGAUGAUUUUUUCUUAUUCAUCUGUUACACUCAAUCGGUCAAAUGAUGUAACAAGGCUCCUCAACUUACACAGUGCCAUUGUGGUACGUAAUCAUCGAAUCAACGAGAUCCAUAUGCCUUACUUCCUGUUUGAUUACUUUCUCUUAUGAAUUGUCUGUUGAGUAAUUGAAGUCUUACUGGAGAUUGACAAGAUACUGGGAAAUAUGAUUAAGUUACUGUAUGUGGUGAAAUUUGGGUGGUGAAGGUGUAACAGCUAUUGGUAAGCUUUGAGACUCAGUAAGUGGGUGUGAAGGGAAUUUUUAUUUGGUUUUUGAUGUCAUCAUCCAAAGAUGCAGCUUUCACACCCCUCUCUACCUUUACAUUAACCUCGCUUCUUUUUAUAUUUUUAAGCUCGUUGUUUCUGUGCAAAUGGGUCUCUCUGCUAUGGCAG
rnacentral:misc_RNA from 1 species